rnacentral:tRNA from 1 species
GCAUUUUUAGUAUAAGUUAAUAUAUUAGAUUUAGGUUCUAAAGAUUAUUAAGAUGCU